rnacentral:antisense_RNA from 1 species
CCGUGGGAGGGAAGGCAUUCUCUGUCAAGCUGCUGUCACCUUACCUGAAGUAAGGAGUCCACGCCUGCAUGUCCGAGGAAAACAGUUUUCUCAAACACAUUAGUUGAAAAACUGAAGACACUGCCUAAAAUACAAGCUGAGUUAGAGACAGCCCUUGUAAGACUAGAAAAAGAAAUGAAAACUAAGUAACAUGAAUUAACAUAGUCCAGGGUCACAAAGCAAAAUGGAACAAGAACCUGGAUCUGAAUUCAGAGGCAGAAUGCUGGAAUCUAAGCCAGAAUGAGGUUACUGCCUAUGCAAAGAAGAAGACAGCUCAUCACAGGUUCAGGAAUGAAGACAGAUCUGCUGGGUUAGGUUGUAAGUGACAGUCUCAGAGCACAGCCAAUCUGAUUCUAAAAUGAGCACAUGAGGAUGUAAGUAUCCAAGACAGAUCCACAACCAAAAAUUCAGUUCAAGACAAAGACUGCUCACUAGACUCAGUACUCAAGAUCCAGCAUACCCACCCAUUUUGGGAGAAUGCAAGCAAUCACCAGUACUUUACAUGGAUGGAAUGCUCAGGUCAAGAAAUUCCAACAGUAAGGAUCCAGAACCUGGAAGUGAAAGUACAAAGCAGAAAGAAUUGACUAUGUCCAUAUACUUUCUCAACCAUCUCAUGUGUAAUCCACUUGGCAGGAAGGGGUAAGGUUUUAUUUUUAGUGUUGGUCUCUUGUUUACUAAAAUGAUGAUAUUUAGGAGAGCAUGUCCCAUUCCUCUGAUUCCAUACCAUCUUCCUUAUCCAGUUGGUAGG